AUUGAACGCUGGCGGAAUGCUUUACACAUGCAAGUCGAACGGCAGCACGGACUUCGGUCUGGUGGCGAGUGGCGAACGGGUGAGUAAUGUAUCGGAACGUGCCCAGUCGUGGGGGAUAACGUAGUGAAAAUUACGCUAAUACCGCAUACGAUCUAUGGAUGAAAGCGGGGGACCGUAAGGCCUCGCGCGAUUGGAGCGGCCGAUAUCAGAUUAGGUAGUUGGUGGGGUAAAGGCUCACCAAGCCGACGAUCUGUAGCUGGUCUGAGAGGACGACCAGCCACACUGGAACUGAGACACGGUCCAGACUCCUACGGGAGGCAGCAGUGGGGAAUUUUGGACAAUGGGCGCAAGCCUGAUCCAGCCAUUCCGCGUGCAGGAUGAAGGCCCUCGGGUUGUAAACUGCUUUUGUACGGAACGAAAAGGCUCUGGUUAAUACCUGGAGCUCAUGACGGUACUGUAAGAAUAAGCACCGGCCAACUACGUGCCAGCAGCCGCCGUAA
rnacentral:rRNA from 1 species